CCACCGCGUUGCUCGCAAGGUAAUCUCGCCCGGCGCAGCUGAGCGCCCGCAUCUCGCGCCUGCGACAUCAAAGGGCCCGCGCACAAAGCAAUGUUUCUUCGCCACGGUGCAUCUUCAUGAAUCUUGGCAAUUGGAGUUCAGAAGAUCCACGACCCCAAAGUGCAUGCAAACGCCCCCCUCCCAUCCACAUGUGCAGUUCUUCAUUUCAUAUUGUGUCCAGGAAAGAAACUUUCACCCUGUCCAGCUUUCCCCAAACCUUCUGAUGUGGUUUUGAAGGUGGUUUAAAUAAACAAGGAUGUAGCAGCCUCCCCAUCCCGUUUGUGCUGACUAAAUGAUUUGUAAAGAAGUUUCCUCAAGCUGUAACCCAUGCUGUUACUAUAGUUGCUACAAAAUGUUGUCUCUUAUAUUGAUUUUUAUUUGUUUACUGGAGGUCCCCAUAUGUUUGUUUAUAUCGCUAAUUUAUGGGAAAAUGUAAUGAUUGCAAUGAAUGUGAAUUAUACAGACAGGCAAAUUUUUGUCAUUAUAACUCACACAUGCAAGAAAGCCUGACUGAAACCUUAGAGUAUUUGGUACCCUCUCUACCCACACGGUUUGUGAUGUAUCAUCUGUCCCCUUAGCAUCCUUAAAUUAUGAACUAACUUGAAAGGAAAAAAAGUUGUUAUGUAUUUGGCUAAAGGUGAUUGUUGAAUGAAAACAUAGUCGAAAGCUGUGGUUUAAUCUUGCUGUAAAUAUGUAAAAAUGAAUUAAAAUCUGUGAUUCUUUUUCCCUCUGAAGACUUUUGUGCACAUGAAGCUCCAUUUUGCUAUUUUGUUUGGAAAUAAAUGAUGUGAUGUUCCCCUCCCU